CAGGGAAGACUGCAGUGUUCAUUUUCGCAGCUGUUCCAGCAGCAACUGUCAUUGUAUCACUUGCUUAUCAAAUUCAUUCUAUUUUAAGAAAAAGCUCUAGUAUCUUCUGCGAAAAGGCCAAGUGGACUUGCAGUCGCACCCUGUUUUUGAACUUGUGGGGACAGGAACAGAACAAACACCAGUAAGUUUGUUUACUCACAUAUGUGCUGACCAUGAGCCGGAGUGGAUCACAGAAAAGGGAAGUAUACUUUGAGCUCAUGUGCAAUUAGAAUGCCAGAAUAUCAGCAAUAUCUGCUACGCUGCUGCUGCGUCAGAGCAAGUACAGAGACUCGCUACUGCUAAUACAUCCACAACAUGCUGCUGUGAGCAUGAUUCUGAGUGAAAAAUGCUUCCCCAUGAUGGAUUCCACCACCACAACCCAAAUGAAGAUGAUGUGAAUUCUCCUUCCAAUCCUUUGAACUUCCUGGAUCAGGACUACCAGGAACUGCACCAGAACUGUCUCACUGAAAACAAACUAUACAAUGACGAGUUGUUCCCUCCAGACAACAGCUCCAUUGGCUUGUUUGAUGAUCUGCCGGAUGAGGUGGAUUUGUCCCAAGUUGUAUGGAAGCGGCCAUCCGAGUUGGUGUCAAACCCUAAUUUAUUUGUAGAUGGCAUGUCCAGGUUUGAUUAUGCACAGGGAAGUGUAUUAGGAAACUGUUGGUUCUUGUCUGCAAUUGGAGCUUUAACCUUUGAGAAGGAUAUCAUAAAACAAGUCAUACCAGCUAAACAGUCUUUUACCAAGGAUUAUGCUGGGAUAUUUCACUUCAGGUUCUGGCGAUUUGGGAAAUGGAUCGAUGUUGUUAUUGAUGACCAGCUUCCAACUUUGGAUGAUGAGCUGCUUUUUGUGUGUUCAAAAACAUCUAAUGAGUUUUGGCCUGCCUUGCUGGAGAAAGCUUAUGCAAAGGUGUGUGGCUCCUAUGCUGACUUGAACGCCGGUUUCAUAUCUGAGGCCCUGAUGGAUUUCACUGGUGGGACACAUAUGUAUUAUGCACUGAAUACGGCUCCUGAUAAUUUGUGGAAAAUCAUGGAAUGUGCGUUCAAGUCCAAAACGCUUAUGGGCUGUGGCUCUCAUACAGUGACAACACCUGAAGAAAAAGAGUUACUUCAUGGCAUAGUUGAAGAGCAUGCUUAUACUGUGACGGGGGUUUACGAGGUGAUGAGUGAUGAAAAUCCAGUCCAGCUGGUGAGAUUGUUAAACCCAUGGGGUGAAGAAGAGUGGAAAGGAGACUGGUGUGAUGGAUCACCCUUGUGGGACACAGUUUGUGAGGAAGUCCGCAACAUUUGCCAUGAAGUUUUAAAUAACGGAGAGUUUUGGAUGUCAAUGGAAGACUUUACCAACAUUUUUGAAAGCAUAGAUAUAUGCUGUCUAUGUCCUGAUUUUCUGGAUGGUUCUGCUGAAUGUCACUGGACCUCAAAGCGACAUUUUGGCAGAUGGAAUGCUGGGAAAACAGCAGGUGGUGACAUAAUUAAGACAGAGACUUUCUGGACAAACCCUCAGUUUCGGGUGGAAAUCAAUGAGCUUAAUGAGGAAUGUGCUAGGGGCCAGAGUCCUGAAAAUAUACUGGUGUCCCUCAUGCAGAACCAUGAGAAGAGAAACAGAAAUAGCCAAGACCAUUUUAAUAUUGGUUUCUAUGUUUUUGAGAUACCACUGGAGGCAAGUGAAAAUCAACCUAAAUAUUAUGCUCUUAUGGUGCUUUCAAGAAGAUUUUUUGUAUAUUCAUUCUUUUAAAUAGACUAAAGACACGUUUUAUUAUUCUCUUUUAGAUGAGAAGUCAAAGUGGGAGGUUUUCUUCUGAGUUCUUCAUUGACAGAGAGCCUGUGGCACAGACUGAUGAAUUAGACUGGUGUAGAGAGGUGAUGAAAUUCUUCAGGCUGGAACCGGGAGAGUACCUGAUUGUCCCGUGCACAAAGAAUCCUGGUGAAACUGCCUCCUUCGUCCUGUCCAUUUUCUCAAAGAAUGAGACACACUUUGAAUUUAUUCAAGAAACUCCUGAGCACAAUGGAGACUGAAAGAUCUAAAUAUCCUCAAAUGCAAACUUUUGUGUUCUGCCACGACCCACGUUUACUGACCAGCCAAUAACAAUGCAACAUGAAACCAAUGUGACAAGGCACCUAAAACUUCAAACUGCUUACCUCAAGUUCUUAUUCCUUCCUCUUUCACGGCUUCCACUUUUUUUCCAGCACACAUAAAAACUACAACCGCCAAAGUGUGAUUCAUUAUGCUCUUUUUGUUUACCACUAGCACAUGCUGAUGACGUUUUAUUCUUCUAUAGUAAUGUGCAUCGUAGCCUACGAGUCAAUAGGUGUCAUCAUCGUACAGUUUACAUGCAUGUCCUACCCAAGUAUAUUAGAUCCAUGUCGCACAGUGUGAUUAGCAAUGAUCUUAUAGGAUUGCUAAAAUCGUGCGGUGUAUAGAAGGCUUAAGACUAUUCAAUAAACUUAUUUGCUUAUUUGUA